rnacentral:rRNA from 1 species
GAUGAACGCUGACGGCGUGCCUAAUACAUGCAAGUCGAGCGAACAGACGAGGAGCUUGCUCCUCUGACGUUAGCGGCGGACGGGUGAGUAACACGUGGAUAACCUACCUAUAAGACUGGGAUAACUUCGGGAAACCGGAGCUAAUACCGGAUAAUAUAUUGAACCGCAUGGUUCAAUAGUGAAAGACGGUUUUGCUGUCACUUAUAGAUGGAUCCGCGCCGCAUUAGCUAGUUGGUAAGGUAACGGCUUACCAAGGCAACGAUGCGUAGCCGACCUGAGAGGGUGAUCGGCCACACUGGAACUGAGACACGGUCCAGACUCCUACGGGAGGCAGCAGUAGGGAAUCUUCCGCAAUGGGCGAAAGCUUGACGGAGCAACGCCGCGUGAGUGAUGAAGGUCUUCGGAUCGUAAAGCCCUGUUAUUAGGGAAGAACAAAUGUGUAAGUAACUAUGCACGUCUUGACGGUACCUAAUCAGAAAGCCACGGCUAACUACGUG